UAUCUCUGUAGAGUCUGCAUAUCAAUAAGCGGAGGAAAAGAAACUAACAAGGAUUCCCCUAGUAACGGCGAGUGAAGCGGGAAGAGCUCAAAUUUGAAAUCUUCAAGGGUUUCCCUUGACGAAUUGUAGUUUAUAGAAGUGUUUUCUGUUAGAGAGGUGGUAAAAGUUCUUUGGAAUAGGACAUCAUAGAGGGUGAGAAUCCCGUAUUUGAUCACUUUCUACUGACGUUGUGAUACACUUUCAACGAGUCGGAUUGUUUGGGAAUGCAGUCCAAAAUGGGUGGUAAAUUUCAUCUAAAGCUAAAUAUUGGCGAGAGACCGAUAGCGAACAAGUACCGUGAGGGAAAGAUGAAAAGAACUUUGAAAAGAGAGUUAAACAGUACGUGAAAUUGUCAAAAGGGAAGCGUUUGACACCAGUGUUGUUUUUUCCGAAAAUCAAUUACGAAUGUUUUGUUUUUGAGAAGUUAUGACUUCAUCGGCUUGCUUCUUUCUUUACGAAACUUUCUUAAUGCACUUUUCGGUUAACAAGUCAACAUCAAUUUCUUUUGUUGUAAAAGGGUACGAUUGGAAGGUGGCUUUUCUUUUCGGAGAAAGUGUUAAUAGCCUUGUGCCUCUGCAAUCGGAGAGAUUGAGGUCUGCAGCGUAGAUCCUUCGGGGUUAGAUACAUUUGUGCUAAGUUAUAGCCUUUUCAUAGACAACUUGUUGACUAUGUAUCAGUCAUGUAGCUUACUCGCUUAUGCUAUUUUACCUACGCUUAGGAUGUUGAUGUGAUACUGCGAGCA
rnacentral:rRNA from 1 species